CCUACGGGUGGCAGCAGUGGGGAAUAUUGCGCAAUGGGCGAAAGCCUGACGCAGCGACGCCGCGUGUGGGAUGAAGGUCUUCGGAUCGUAAACCUCUGUCAGCAGGGACGAACGGUCACUGUGCUAAUCAGCAGUGCAUUGACGGUACCUGCCCAGGAAGCACCGGCUAACUCCGUGCCAGCAGCCGCGGUAAUACGGAGGGUGCGAGCGUUAAUCGGAAUUACUGGGCGUAAAGCGCUCGUAGGCGGUAUGGCAAGUCAAGGGUGAAAUCCCCGCGCUCAACGUGGGAACUGCCUUUGAGACUGGAAAACUGGAGUGUGUGAGAGGAUAGUGGAAUUCCAGGUGUAGGAGUGAAAUCCGUAGAUAUCUGGAGGAACAUCAGUGGCGAAGGCGACUAUCUGGCACAUAACUGACGCUGAGGCGCGAAAGCGUGGGUAGCAAACAGGAUUAGAUACCCGAGUAGUC
rnacentral:rRNA from 1 species